UACAGAGGUCCCGAGCGUUGUUCGGAUUCAUUGGGCGUAAAGGGUGCGUAGGCGGCGGGGCAAGUCUGAUGUGAAAUCCCGGGGCUCAACCCCGGAACUGCAUUGGAUACUGCCUUGCUAGAGUACUGGAGAGGGAACUGGAAUUUACGGUGUAGCAGUGAAAUGCGUAGAUAUCAGGAGGAACACCAAUUGCGAAGGCAGCUCGCUGGGACGUGACUGACGCUGAGACGCGAAAGCGUGGGGAGCAAACAGG
rnacentral:rRNA from 1 species